rnacentral:rRNA from 1 species
CUGCAGCCCGAGUGGUGAUCGAUUUUAUUGAGCCUAAAGCGUCCGUAGCCGGACUAGUAAACCCUUGGGUAAAUUGGGCAGCUGAACUGUCCAAAUUCCGAGGGGACUGCUAGUCUUGGGACCGGGAGAGGUCAGAGGUACUCAAGGGGUAGGGGCUAAAUCCUGUAAUCCUUUGGGGACCACCAGUGGCGAAGGCGUCUGACUAGAACGGAUCCGACGGUAAGGGACGAAACCCUGGGGCGCGAACCGGAUUAGAUACCCGAGUAGUCC